rnacentral:misc_RNA from 1 species
CCUCCUUAUACGAUUUAGAACUUAUUUGUUCGUAGUGUCCACACAGAUGAUUGUUAGUUAGCUAAGCCACUGGCUUACCUAAUUAAUAUGCUCUUUAAAAAUUUGGAAAAACUGAUUAAUAAAAAUUCGUAUANAUAACAGUUGUUAUUUUAUACAGAGUUUUCAAAAGUAAAAAAAUGCCCAUUGAUUAUUCAAACGAAUAAUGAAUUGGUAAUCUACUUUAGUAUUCAAGAUUUAACUUCUGGCGAAGUUUUAAACUGUCACUUAACAAAUGACCCGUUUUGGGUUGUAUGGUUUAAGUGACUAAAUCGUACAUCUGUGGGAUGCCUUUGGCAAAAGGC